CUGUGCUUGCAUCUGCCUCACAUAUAAGUAAAAACUGGAAUGAGACAGAGAAGAUUAGCACAGCCGCUGCACAAAGAUGACAUACAAAUUCAUGAAGUGUUCAUAUUAAAA
rnacentral:snRNA from 1 species